UACGUAGGGGGCGAGCGUUGUCCGGAUUUAUUGGGCGUAAAGCGCGUGUAGGCGGCUUGGUAGGUCUGCUGUGAAAACUCGGGGCUCAACCCCGAGACGUCGGUGGAAACCACCUGGCUAGAGUCCGGAAGAGGAGAGUGGAAUUCCCGGUGUAGCGGUGAAAUGCGCAGAUAUCGGGAAGAACACCCGUGGCGAAGGCGGCUCUCUGGUACGUGACUGACGCUGAGACGCGAAAGCGUGGGGAGCGAACAGG
rnacentral:rRNA from 1 species